GAGUUAUUAAAGAGUGUGUUUAUCACAUAGCAUUGAAGGUUGGUGCUAUCAAUAAGCGAUUCUCCGUGUCUUUCAAAUACUUCUCAUUUUGAUUACAGCCUCGAACAAAUCGCUAAAUU